rnacentral:misc_RNA from 1 species
GGAAGUAAAAGUCGUAACAAGGUAUCCGUAGGUGAACCUGCGGAAGGAUCAUUCAUAAUAAGUGUUUUACUGCACUUUUUAAAAAUAGUACUCACCUUGUGUGCAAUGUUGUGUUUCUUUUCGGAGAAACACCUACACCAACCUAUAACCUUGAACCACUUUGUCUGAAAAACUAUUAUGAAUACUUAAUUCAAAAUACAACUUUCAACAACGGAUCUCUUGGCUCUC